AAAAUACAAUAAGAUAGUAAAUAUAAUUUGAGGCAAUUCAUGAUAAAAAAGCAUGUGCUCAUCUCAUAUUACUUGCAGCUGGGUGAAUACCUUAUUAUGACUGAAUGACAUGGAUAAAACAUAAUAAGGAAAGUUAUUAAAGUAAGGAAAGUUGUUAAAGAGGAAAUGUUGUGAGCUGCUAAUUUUCAGAAUCCCAAACUUUAGGUCAAAGUGACUCACAAAACAAUGAUUUGGAAAUGGAAGUAUUAGUUCAUGAUUCAACUGGCAGAAAAUCGUGGGGCAAUCCUUAGAUUUCUUACUGGUCAGGGCUCUGGGUUGCAGAUGACAGAAAUUUGCUAGCUAGUUUAAGAAGAGAAUCUGUAAAUGGAACUUGUGGAUCAAAGGCGAUAUGGAAGAUGUAGUCAGGUUUUCCAAGAAAGUACAUGGUAAAGAUCUAGAGCUUACGUUGAGCCAGCCACUCUGUAGGAUCUGUCACAAAACCUCACGAAAUAUAGUUAAAGCCUUGGGUUGUGAGUAACUUGUUCUGGGAUUGUUCUGCGAGAUGAACAUACAUUUCUAAUAAAUUUAACUUGAUAAAGGAGUAAUGUCUUGCAAUCUGAGUAGUAUGUGACACCAAAUGUCACAUAACAGCUGAGCCAAUAUUCUUCUCUCUCUCUCUUGCUGCGGGAUUGUGGGUGAUUGUUUCCCAACAGCAAGGAGUUAUGGAGUAUAUCUUGUCUGCAGGGGAAGAGGAGGGGAAAAAGGUGGAUUCUCUUAGUGAAAGGCAUCCUACCCAAUAACCCUCCUCCCUCUUGUCUCCAUCACACCAGUCAUGAAGGUUUUCAAAGGUGGCAGUGUAUGAUUACAUCAGGAAAAGCCACAGCAUCAAGUCCAGUGUUUCCAGCUGUGACCUCCCACAUCAAAAUGAAACCUCUGUGUCUGCACUUGGUCCAGGAGAUACUACUUUUCAUGUGUCUGUAUACACGGUUUAUCCCAGCGGGUUCCAAGAGCUGUUCCGCCAUUUUCUCAGACUCCCCAGUGGCGCCAUUGUUGAGAAAGGGUCCUGCGUGCACAGCUUGGGAACAUCUCUCCUUCAUUGUUUAUUCUGCC
rnacentral:lncRNA from 1 species